rnacentral:rRNA from 1 species
GUGCCAGCCGCCGCGGUAAAACGUAGGAGGCGAGCGUUAUCCGGAUUCACUGGGCGUAAAGCGCGUGCAGGUGGCGCGGUAAGUUGGGCGUGAAAUCUCCCGGCUCAACUGGGAGAGGUCGUCCAAUACUACCGUGCUUGAGAGCAGAAGAGGAAGAUGGAAUUCCCGGUGUAGUGGUGAAAUGCGUAGAUAUCGGGAGGAACACCAGUGGCGAAGGCGAUCUUCUGGUCUGUUUCUGACACUCAGACGCGACAGCUAGGGUAGUAAACGGGAUUAGAAACCCCCGUAGUCC